rnacentral:rRNA from 1 species
UGGGGAAUAUUGCACAAUGGGCGCAAGCCUGAUGCAGCCAUGCCGCGUGUAUGAAGAAGGCCUUCGGGUUGUAAAGUACUUUCAGCGGGGAGGAAGGGAGUAAAGUUAAUACCUUUGCUCAUUGACGUUACCCGCAGAAGAAGCACCGGCUAACUCCGUGCCAGCAGCCGCGGUAAUACGGAGGGUGCAAGCGUUAAUCGGAAUUACUGGGCGUAAAGCGCACGCAGGCGGUUUGUUAAGUCAGAUGUGAAAUCCCCGGGCUCAACCUGGGAACUGCAUCUGAUACUGGCAAGCUGGAGUCUCGUAGAGGGGGGUAGAAUUCCAGGUGUAGCGGUGAAAUGCGUAGAGAUCUGGAGGAAUACCGGUGGUGAAGGCGGCCCCCUGGACGAAGACUGACGCUCAGGUGCGAAAGCGUGGGGAGCAAACAGG